AUUGAACGCUGGCGGCAUGCUUUACACAUGCAAGUCGAACGGCAGCGCGGGCUUCGGCCUGGCGGCGAGUGGCGAACGGGUAAGUAAUGCAUCGGAACGUGCCCAGUAGUGGGGGAUAGCCCGGCGAAAGCCGGAUUAAUACCGCAUACGACCUGAGGGUGAAAGCGGGGGACCGAAAGGCCUCGCGCUAUUGGAGCGGCCGAUGUCGGAUUAGCUAGUUGGUGGGGUAAAGGCUUACCAAGGCGACGAUCCGUAGCUGGUCUGAGAGGACGACCAGCCACACUGGGACUGAGACACGGCCCAGACUCCUACGGGAGGCAGCAGUGGGGAAUUUUGGACAAUGGGGGCAACCCUGAUCCAGCCAUGCCGCGUGCGGGAAGAAGGCCUUCGGGUUGUAAACCGCUUUUGUUCGGGAAGAAAUCCUCUGGGCUAAUACCCCGGGUAGAUGACGGUACCGGAAGAAUAAGCACCGGCUAACUACGUG
rnacentral:rRNA from 1 species